ensembl:lncRNA
CAGGGUGUCCGCGGAGGUCUUAAAAGACUUAAAAAGUCUUAAAUUCAUUUUUCUAAAUUUAAGGCCUUAAAAAGUCUUAAAUUCGUCAAAAAUGUCAUAUGCUGGUCUUAAAUAUAUAACUCGGAGGUCUUAAAUUUGUCGGGGCAGGGUUAUUUAAUUUUUUAUUUUUCUCGCGGGACUUUUCGGGAAGGAGAUGUACGAGGGGCUACUUUCUUGCAAGCUGCAUAUAAACGGAUGUCUGCGCGCUUGCUAGCUAGUCUGCAACAAUGGGUAAAUGCAAGUUCAACGUCAGUUGGCUGGAAGACGUCCGUUUCCGAGGUUGGCUAGCGUCCGUUGCCAACCCAGAACAGGCCAGAUGCAUUCCGUGCAAAAGUAGCCUACAUUCAAGCUCGGCACCAUGGGGAUUAAGGCUGUCGUCAGCCAUAUGCAGAGCCAAAAACAUAAAACCUCUGCCAGGAGCCACACACAGACCCCAGCCAUUUCUACGUUUUGCAUCUCUGCCCCGGCGCCACCGCCGCAGACGGUCCGCGCUGCUAGCACUGACCUGAGGGUAGCAUUUGGUGCGACACCAACACUGAAAGCGGAGGUGUUGUGGAUUCUAAACACAGUGGUCAAGCACCAGUCCUACAACUCGAAUGAGGGGAUAGGAGAUCUCUUCGGUUUGAUGUUCCCUGACUCUCAAAUCGCGAGCACCUUUACUGCUGGAAGGGACAAAACGGCGUAUAUAACUCACUUCGGACCAGCGACUUUCAUCCGAAACGAGCGAAUCUGCAGCGUCUACAAGGCUUUUGUUUUGAUAUUUGAGACGUUGAACCACGCCACUAAAAGCAAGCAACUUGACGUGCACGUCCGAUAUUGGGUCGGAGAUCGAGUGCAUUCCCGGUACUUGGGCUCGCAAUUCAUGGGGCCCCACAUAUAUGGGGGUAAAAGGGAUGAUGAUACAUAAUAUUUUUUAGACAAUAUGCAGAAUCUUUUCACUUACGAAUUAACACGGUCGGCUAUUUUUGCCAGCACACCACCCUAGCCAUAUUAUGGGUAACCGUGUUCCCCUUGGCUGUGAUUUGAACUUUGAAUUCCUCGUAGGAGUUCAUAAUAAUACAUUGCUCGCCUUGGAUGAAAUACACCGCUCUUGCGCGAUUUAUUUUGCAUAAGGGUGAGUCAAAUGACGCGAGAAACGCCCCUUUUAUGUGAACGCGCAUUGAACCUAAAGCGGAAAACCUGGUUCAACUAAUUGAAUCUAAAGUGAGCGUCAUGGUACCAUUUAACUGUGAUUGCGAGUUGCGGCUCUGUCGAGCCAGGUUUUCCCAAGAAAGCCUGGGUAUGUUCAACGAGGUUCGUGGUAUACCCCCCCCAGGUCUUACUGAAGGCAUUUAUUUAAUGGUGAAAAUAUUAUUAAUCAGUGGCGUUAGUAUCGACGGUGCAACCGGUGCAGCUGCCCGGGGGCCCAGACGCUGUCAACCCCCCUCUCAACAACUUACAACUUGGGAGCACCAUGAAUACGUGCUGGUGCACCCAAAUUAAAAAUUUAGGUGCACCAGUGCACCCAAGGAAAAAGUUAGUCUGGAGCCCUGGAGUAUCACUUUAUGUUCAAUAAACAGACAGAAAGUCAACUUGAAUGAGUCUCAUUGAGUGACGCACAUGCUUGGGUUGUAAUACAGCGGGAUCCACCCCACCAUCGCGGGAUUAAGGUCUUAAAUUUCAUUCAAGGUGGUAUUAAAAAGGUCUUAAAAAGUCUUAAAUUUGACUUGCUGAAACCUGCAGAUACCCUGCCCCCCGGACCCCCACGUAUUUCGCACACUGGGUAUCGACCACGAUACAGCUUCUCUCCAAGAGAAGCUGCCAAAU